UGUGUAUCGAGGCCAGCUGGGUUUGUGACGGCAGCCCGGACUGCGCUGACGGAAGGGACGAAGAGGGCUGUGCGACACUGGAGCCGCCGCCGCCCUGUGCCGCCGACCAGUUCACCUGUGAUAGCGGCAUGUGUAUUCCGAUGGAGGACCACUGUGACAGCCAUCCCGACUGCGCGGCCGGUGAGGAUGAGCGCGACUGUGAGCCAAACUGCGCUCCCGAGCUGUUCCGAUGUCCCGACGGCACGUGCCUGCCUCAGGAGCAGGUUUGCGACGGCGUGCGACAGUGCGCCUGGGGACACGACGAGGACGACUGCGCCCACCUGGCCCAGUGUCCGCCGUCGGCCCGCUGCGAAC